rnacentral:lncRNA from 1 species
ACUCUAUAAAAUUAAGACAACUAUUCUACAUGACUACAAAAUAAGUAAAUUUAAAUAACUGUAGAUAAAGAAACUAUAAUUUGUACACUUAUGUAGACUAUUUCUUUUUUCUAUGCAAUUUAAUCUUCUCAUUCAAAGCGAGAGCACCCUUCUUCCUGGCUAACCUGCCUGUAACCUCACUUAUGUGGUGCAAAAUAAUGUCUAUUCUACACAAAAUAAAAAUUAUUUUACAUUAGUGAACUGUAUAAAAAAGAAGCAUUAAUCUACAUAAUACCUACAUAAUUCUUCAAAAAAAAGUAAGAACUACAGAAUGAUUACAAAAUAAAAAUAUUUAUAAAAAUGUAGAAAAUAACAACUACAAUUAAACUACAAAAUUAAGACAACUAAUCGACAUGGCUACAAAAUAACUACAUUUAUAAAGGGAAACUUACAGAAAUAUCACAUAUAAGUUUCAACUUACCAACCUCUAGCCAAUAUUUUAAAAAUUGAAACAAACAAGGAAAUUUUUAAAUGGGUAUAGUCGAAAUUUAUUGAAAACAUAUAGAUAAGUCAAUAUACAAAAUUUGAGAAAAAUUGAGGUGAUUUGGACUUAGUUUUGUUCAAAAUUCAUAAUUAAAUCGAUGUCAAAAAAUUCUUUUGUGAAACAUAUAUCAAACAUGUAUCACUCAUUAAUCUCACACACAGAUAUACAUGUGAUACACAAUAGAUACAAAUAUGAUACAUAUGUGAUACAUAGUGUGAUACACGUAUCAUAUUUUUUCAUAUUCAGUUUUUACUUUGAAUUUUCAAUUCAAACCACCUCAAAACUUCACCAAAUCAUCCCAAAACUGAGAUUCAAGCUCCUUAUGAUAUACCCAAUUUAUUCUAAUAGCAACACUCAAAAGAAAGUAAAAAUUUAAUAUUUUUUUGCUACAAAUAGCUAAUUGGCCAUUUUGACUAAUAUUAGUAAUAUUUUAUCAAUUGAUCAAUUUUUAUAAUGAGCUACUUCUAAAUGAACAUAGUUAGUAAUUUUUUAUUUAUAAACUGUGUUCAAGACAGAUAAUUUCGUUAUCUACAUUAGAAAGGCCAGCGAAUCUUAAUUUUUUUCAUGCGGCCGUACAUACAAAAUUAUAAAGAAGAAUUAAAAAUACAUAAAUUAGUAAUAUUUAUGAGCGUACAAAAUUACCAGAAUAUUCAAUUCAAGUAGUCAGUUUGAGAUCUUAGUGCAAAAGAUUCUCGUCCUUUACUAGCUACAGAACAACACCAAUUGACACCAUUUCAGGACAUCUUGAUCAGCAAAAAACUAUGAAAUCUGUCCUUUUUCUCUAUUGAUACAAACACAUGCUAAUUGAAUAGAUUUUUCCUUCCGUGGUUUUGUAGCAAACUACGUUUUCCAGUUUCUUUUCACCAUAUUGCUCUUAGCAUCUUUGUGUAACUCCAUAUUGCAACCAAGAUGAGGAGAAAGAGCAAAGAGAUAAUCUACAAUUUGGCUAAAUAUUGCAUUGGAUUUUGGUAGAAUUGUAACGUGAAAAUGAAGAAUGUGGGUAUAACUUGUUCUGUAAAGAAGAAGAGUGAAGCUAAACAAGGGGAAGUUACAGUAAAGGGUAAA